UGACUGCUUCUUCCACUUCUACCUCAGCUCCUCCACCACCACUCCUCCGCCGGAUUUCCUUCCUCCACCACCGUCGCCCCCGCCACCGCCACCGCCACUUCCGUCUAACUCUCACUGUUCCUCUUCUAUAUUUAUCUUAUCUUAUGUCUAUCUAUAUAUACCCCUAUAUAAACGCAAACAUUAACAUUGCCGCCUCUAUUACCCUAUACAUACUCUCUUCCUCUUCCUGUUCAUCUCCUUAUUUUCUCUCUCCAACAAAUGAAAAUUUUCCUCCUAUUUUCCCGGCGAGUCACCUUCUCCGCCGCCGCCGCCAGCACCGCCGUCAAUUUUCCUGAUUAUGAAUUUUCCUGAUCCCGGCGCCAUGAUGAAGGAGGCGGCGCAAUUAUUGUGCGGCGAGGAAAGGGAGGCGAAGAUGAAUGAGAGUGUAGGUGAUAGAAUUUCAGGUAUUCUGUAUAAGUGGGUGAAUUUGGGUAAACGUUGGCGUCGAAGGUGGUUUGUGUUGGAAGAUGGUGUUCUUUCAUAUUAUAAAAUACACGGACAUCAUAAAAUUGAUCUCAAUCUAGAGACUGAUAAACGAUCCACAGUCCUCGGUGAAGAUUCACUCCGCCUAAUUUCUCCUCGUCACAAUCACAAUAUUAUUAUUAAUGGUACCUCUCAGCUCCGGCCGAAGCCUGUUGGUCAAGUUCAUCUCAAGGUUUCAUCAAUACGGGAGAGCAGGUCAGAUGACAAGAGGUUUUUAAUUUUUACGGGUAGUAAGAGACUGCACUUGAGGGCCGAGACUCGAGAAGAUCGAGUGGCUUGGAUAGAUGCAUUGCAAGCUAUAAAAGACUUGUUCCCCAGGGUCUCUAACAGUGAACUAAUGGCUCCUGUGGACAAUGUUGUUGUGUCAACCGAGAAAUUGAGGCAGCUGUUAUUGGAAGAAGGUGUGAGUGAGGCAGCCAUCCAGGACAGUGAGCAAAUCAUGAGAAACGAGUUUGCUGCGCUGCAGAAUCAACUUAUGCUGCUCAAAGAGAAGCAUUGGCUCCUUCUUGAUUCACUGCGGCAGUUAGAGGUCGCUUGCACGAGAAAUCAUCGCAAGUCCAAAAUCACUGAAAAAUUGCCACCCACAGAUUCAAGGCUCAGACCUGAGCAGAGGUGCUUAGAAAAUGGGGAGUAUGACAUGUUCAGAGAAGUUGCGGCUUGAGCAGAGACAGCGGCAGGUAGACAAUAUGGUGCCUGUUUAGUAUCAGACUUUUAUUUUGUGAUGCUGGGAGCAAAGACUUUGGAUGUAUGUUCCUCCCAACUGGUUGCUUCAAAUUUUUUUGGCUCGUAAGAUGCAAGAGAGUGGGUGGUCUUACACAGACUUGGGUAGAACUCAACUCCAAAAGCUAGCUAUUGAGGUGAGGAUGCAGUAUUCUUAACAUUACUUUAGUACUCAUGCAAUUCGAUUCAGGUGGAAACUCAGGUGCUUUGCAAAGGAGAAAGGAAAAGAUACCUACCGCAUUAUCAGUGGUUAUUGGGAGGCUAGACAGAAGGGAAGUUGGGAUUUUUGUGCUGAUAUCUUCUGUUAUUUUCGUUUCAAUCAGAUAUUGGACAGAGUACGCCCAAAUCAUUUUCUCUACAUUUCUCUCUUCUUUCUUUCAUAUAUUUUUGUCAACAGAUUAGAUAGGCUGCCAAGGAUUGCUGAUAUGAGCCAUUUAGGUUGGUGUAACAUGCAUGUCAGUAUCUAGCGGAGGUGUCA